GACGAACGCUGGCGGCGUGCUUAACACAUGCAAGUCGAACGGUAAGGCCCUUCGGGGUACACGAGUGGCGAACGGGUGAGUAACACGUGGGUGAUCUGCCCUGCACUUCGGGAUAAGCCUGGGAAACUGGGUCUAAUACCGGAUAGGACUCCUGGCUUCAUGGUUGGGGGUGGCAAGCUUUUGCGGUGUGGGAUGGGCCCGCGGCCUAUCAGCUUGUUGGUGGGGUAAUGGCCUACCAAGGCGACGACGGGUAGCCGGCCUGAGAGGGUGACCGGUCACACUGGGACUGAGAUACGGCCCAGACUCCUACGGGAGGCAGCGGUGGGGAAUAUUGCACAAUGGGCGCAAGCCUGAUGCAGCGACGCCGCGUGAGGGAUGACGGCCUUCGGGUUGUAAACCUCUUUCAGCUAUGACGAAGCGCAAGUGACGGUAGUAGCAGAAGAAGGACCGGCCAACUACGUGCCAGCAGCCGCGGUAA
rnacentral:rRNA from 1 species